AGAACAAGUACCGUUCGAAUAGGGCGGUACCUUGACGGUACCUAACCAGAAAGCCACGGCUAACUACGUGCCAGCAGCCGCGGUAAUACGUAGGUGGCAAGCGUUGUCCGGAAUUAUUGGGCGUAAAGGGCUCGCAGGCGGUUUCUUAAGUCUGAUGUGAAAGCCCCCGGCUCAACCGGGGAGGGUCAUUGGAAACUGGGGAACUUGAGUGCAGAAGAGGAGAGUGGAAUUCCACGUGUAGCGGUGAAAUGCGUAGAGAUGUGGAGGAACACCAGUGGCGAAGGCGACUCUCUGGUCUGUAACUGACGCUGAGGAGCGAAAGCGUGGGGAGCGAACAGGAUUAGAUACCCUGGUAGUCCACGCCGUAAACGAUGAGUGCUAAGUGUUAGGGGGUUUCCGCCCCUUAGUGCUGCAGCUAACGCAUUAAGCACUCCGCC
rnacentral:rRNA from 1 species